GUCCACACAUAAUGUUUUUUAAUGCAACAGCAUUUACCUAUAAAAGAAGGGUUCUGAUGUGGAAACGCGCUCCUUUUCGCUUGUGAUUCUGGACCGAUUAGUAGUGCGCGCGUGUGUAGAAUACUCCAAGAUUUUGAGGUUCAGCACCUGUACAGCUAGUUUGUUAGUAACUUAAAACUAGUGUUAAUCUGUAAAAACUGAAACGCUAAAGGUUUCUACUAUACUGCAUCUGAAAAGUGAAACUAAAACUAAACAGAGAAACUUGUAAGAAAAAGGCCCAAGAAGUGGGCCUUUUUUCUUCUACUCGGCAGUAAAGCUCGACAAGUGGCCAUUGGCCAACCUACGGCGAAAUCAAGACCUUGGAGUGAAGCGCGUCGUGGCCAGGGGAACAGCGGAAGAAACACGCAAGGGCGGUAUCCUUGGAGCAGGUUCGGAAUGCUUUCCGGAACCGUCGGUGGUCCACCAUUUUGUGGGAUCAGAGUAGCCACUUUCUGGACGUCGACGAAAGCCUCGGCGACGCCAUGUUUCCAUCAUUUUCCAGCCCGAUCCGGUGUCAUGAACGGCAUCCCGUUUCCGGAACCGUCUGAGAUUUCAAUCGUCCUUCGAAUCCCGGACGAAUCCCAGUUCCUCGAAGCGUUCCUCGUCCAAAGCCAGUGUACCACUCCUCGGCCAAAUUGAAAACUACCCCGAACAUCAGCAACGAUACAAAUUAUGCGCAAGUACCCUAACCAAACAUGUGACGUCACACAAAUAAAUAUUGUACAUAGUAAUUAAGGAAAA